GUAAUCAAAAGUUUAUUAAUUGUAAACCUGUAUGAAAGAAUAAAUCUUGGGUAACUAUCACUAUGGAGGACGUGAAUUUAAAUAGUAUUAAAAAAUAUACUAGAGAGCGAAAGACGAGAAGACCCUAAAAGCUGGUUUUUAAAAAUUAUUUGGGGAAAAUUUUUGGUGUCUUUCUCAUUAAGAUUUUGUAAAAGAACAAAAAAAUAAGCUACUUUAGGGAUAACAGAACAAUCCAUUUCAAAAGUUCUUAUAGAAAAAAGGGAUUGUGACCUCGAUGUUGGAUUCUUGAGUCUGGGAGGCCGCAGCAGGCCCCUGAGAUUAGACUGUUCGUUUUUUAAACCGAG
rnacentral:rRNA from 1 species